UAUGUGACUUGGUUUGGAAAUAG
rnacentral:piRNA from 1 species